rnacentral:rRNA from 1 species
AUACGGAGGAUGCGAGCGUUAUCCGGAUUUAUUGGGUUUAAAGGGAGCGUAGGUGGGAUAUUAAGUCAGCUGUGAAAGUUUGGGGCUCAACCUUAAAAUUGCAGUUGAUACUGGUUUCCUUGAGUACGGUACAGGUGGGCGGAAUUCGUGGGGUAGCGGUGAAAUGCUUAGAUAUCACGAAGAACUCCGAUCGCGAAGGCAGCUCACCGGGCCGGAACUGACACUGAUGCUCGAAAGUGCGGGUAUCAAACAGGAUUAGAUACCCUGGUAGUCCGCACAGUAAACGAUGAAUACUCGCUGUUUGCGAUACACGGUAAGCGGCCAAGCGAAAGCGUUAAGUAUUCCACCUGGGGAGUACGCCGGCAACGGUGAAACUCAAAUGAAUUGGCGGGG